rnacentral:rRNA from 1 species
AACGGAAAGGCCCUGCUUUUGUGGGGUGCUCGAGUGGCGAACGGGUGAGUAACACGUGAGUAACCUGCCCUUGACUUUGGGAUAACUUCAGGAAACUGGGGCUAAUACCGGAUAGGAGCUCCUGCUGCAUGGUGGGGGUUGGAAAGUUUCGGCGGUUGGGGAUGGACUCGCGGCUUAUCAGCUUGUUGGUGGGGUAGUGGCUUACCAAGGCUUUGACGGGUAGCCGGCCUGAGAGGGUGACCGGCCACAUUGGGACUGAGAUACGGCCCAGACUCCUACGGGAGGCAGCAGUGGGGAAUAUUGCACAAUGGGCGGAAGCCUGAUGCAGCAACGCCGCGUGCGGGAUGACGGCCUUCGGGUUGUAAACCGCUUUCGCCUGUGACGAAGCGUGAGUGACGGUAAUGGGUAAAGAAGCACCGGCUAACUACGUGCCAGCAGCCGCGGUGAUACGUAGGGUGCGAGCGUUGUCCGGAUUUAUUGGGCGUAAAGGGCUCGUAGGUGGUUGAUCGCGUCGGAAGUGUAAUCUUGGGGCUUAACCCUGAGCGUGCUUUCGAUACGGGUUGACUUGAGGAAGGUAGGGGAGAAUGGAAUU